UUCUAUAAAUUAGAACUUGUAUGAAUGGUAUAAUGUAAAUAUAACUGUCUUUUAUUUAAAAAUACAAUUUAAUUUUUUAGUGAAGAAGCUAAAAUAAUUUAGAAAGACGAGAAGACCCUAAUAAGUUUAGAGACUUUUCUUUUUUAGAAGAAAGAAAAGUCUUUUAUUGGGGCAAUAAAAGAAUAUAUUUUCUUUUUUAAAAUGUGAAUAAUUAUUUUUGAUUCAUUUUUGAUGAUUUAAGGUUAAAUUACUAUAGGGAUAACAGCAUAAUUUUUUUUUAGAGUACGAAUUAACAAAAAAGAUUGUGACCUCGAUGUUGAAUUAAGAAAAUUUUUUAGUGAAGAAGCUAAAAUAAUAAGUCUGUUCGACUUUUAAUUUCUUA
rnacentral:rRNA from 1 species